rnacentral:rRNA from 1 species
GGCACAAGCGGGUGGAGCAUGUGGUUUAAUUCGAAAGCUACGCGAAAGAACCUUACCAGGGUCUUGACAUCUUCUGCCAACCUAAGAGAUUAGGCGUUCCCUUCGGGGACAGAAUGACAGGUGGUGCAUGGUUGUCGUCAGCUCGUGUCGUGAGAUGUUGGGUUAAGUCCCGCAACGAGCGCAACCCUUAUUACUAGUUGCCAGCAUUCAGUUGGGCACUCUAGUGAGACUGCCGGUGACAAACCGGAGGAAGGUGGGGACGACGUCAAAUCAUCAUGCCCCUUAUGACCUGGGCUACACACGUGCUACAAUGGAUGGUACAACGAGUCGCGAAACCGCGAGGUUUAGCUAAUCUCUUAAAACCAUUCUCAGUUCGGACUGUAGGCUGCAACUCGCCUACACGAAGUCGGAAUCGCUAGUAAUCGCGGAUCAGCAUGCCGCGGUGAAUACGUUCCCGGGCCUUGUACACACCGCCCGUCUCUCCAUGAGAGUUUGUAACACCCAAAGCCGGUGGGGUAACCUUUAGGAGCU